UACAGAGGGUGCGAGCGUUAAUCGGAAUUACUGGGCGUAAAGGGCGCGUAGGCGGCCUUCUAAGUCGAACGUGAAAUCCCUGGGCUCAACCCAGGAACUGCGUCCGAUACUGGAAGGCUUGAAUCCGGGAGAGGGAUGCGGAAUUCCAGGUGUAGCGGUGAAAUGCGUAGAUAUCUGGAGGAACACCGGUGGCGAAGGCGGCAUCCUGGACCGGUAUUGACGCUGAGGAGCGAAAGCGAUGGGGAGCGAACGAGG
rnacentral:rRNA from 1 species